rnacentral:rRNA from 1 species
UACAGAGGUCUCAAGCGUUGUUCGGAUUCAUUGGGCGUAAAGGGUGCGUAGGUGGCGGGGUAAGUCAGGUGUGAAAUUUCGGAGCUUAACUCCGAAACUGCAUUUGAUACUGCCUUGCUUGAGGACUGGAGAGGAGAAUGGAAUUCCUGGGUGUAAGCGGUGAAAUGCGCAGAUAUCAGGAAGAACACCCGUGGCGAAGGCGGUUCUCUGGGACGGUACUGACGCUGAGACGCGAAAGCGUGGGGAGCGAACAGG